GAGGGUAUAGCUCAGUGAUAGAACGUGUGCCUAGCAAGCACAAGGUCCUAGAUUCAAUCCCCAGUACCUCCA
rnacentral:tRNA from 1 species